CUGUGUAACUUAGCUGUGCCACCGCCGGGCUGGCCGCCGCCCUGGCCAUCCCUCUAAACUGGUAGCCCUGAAAUCUCCAACCCCUAACCCCAAACUAAAUCCUCGCCGCAGAUCCCGCCGUCGGAGCUCUCUGGGAGAAGGUCGGAGCUUGCCAGAGAAGGUGGCCCCAAUUUCCUCAAUUUCCUUUUUGCCCCCGAGAUCCUCUCUGUUAAAAGAUCAACCACUAGUUAAAGUUCUAGUGGUUAGCAUUUUCGGAAAAUUGAGGCAUGAGCGUGAUGUUUUCUUCGAUAGAAAUGCAUAAUUGAUCUGAUUUAAAGAUAGUCCUUAAGAAUUCUAUUACAGCAUGGAGUCGUUAGUCAAGCAAGAGACACAACCGAAGCCGCGGCUCAUUGUCCGCCUUGGCGUAUUUCUUGCAUCUCACCACAUUCUCUUCAGUGUUAUUUGCUGCUCUGCGGGCAUUAUUGCGCUCCUCCUCCUCCCUUCACUUGC